GGCUGUUUGGUCUAGUGGUAUGAUUCUCGCUUCGGGUGCGAGAGGUCCUGGGUUCAAUUCCCAGAACAGCCC
rnacentral:tRNA from 1 species